CCUACGGGUGGCAGCAGUGGGGAAUAUUGCACAAUGGGGGAAACCCUGAUGCAGCGACGCCGCGUGAGUGAAGACGUAACUCGUUAUGGAAAGCUCCAUUAGUAGGGAAGAAAAUGACGGUACCUGUGUAAGAAGCCCCGGCUAACUACGUGCCAGCAGCCGCGGUACUAUGUAGGGGGCCAGCGUUAUCCGGAUUUACUGGGUGUAAAGGGAGCGUAGUCGGCAGUGAAAGUCAGGAGUGAAAGGCGGGGGCUCAACCCCCGGACUGCACUUGAAACUGGACGGCUGGAGUGCAGGAGAGGUAGGUGGAAUUCCUGGUGUAGCGGUGAAAUGCGUAGAUAUUAGGAAGAACACCAAUGGCGAAGGCAGCUUACUGGACUGUAACUGACGUUGAGGCUCGAAAGCGUGGGGAGCAAACAGGAUUAGAUACCCCGGUAGUC
rnacentral:rRNA from 1 species